rnacentral:rRNA from 1 species
UACGUAGGGUGCAAGCGUUGUCCGGAAUUAUUGGGCGUAAAGAGCUCGUAGGCGGUCUGUCGCGUCUGCUGUGAAAACUCAGGGCUUAACCCUGAGCUUGCAGUGGGUACGGGCAGACUAGAGUGCGGUAGGGGAGACUGGAAUUCCGGGUGUAGCGGUGGAAUGCGUAGAGAUCCGGAAGAACACCGGAGGCGAAGGCGGCUUGCUGGACCUGGUCUGACGCUGAGGCGCGAAAGCGUGGGGAGCGAACAGG